rnacentral:lncRNA from 1 species
UUACACGCUUGCUGAGCUAAACCUCAUGCUACAGCUUAAAUGCUUAAUACAAUGUAAUCAAGGGAAGACGAAUAUAACAAUUAACAUUAUAAAAAAAUUUAGUGCACUUCACACAUACAAAUACAAUGCAAGAUAUUAGACUGCCAAAUUUCAAAAUCCAGAAGCAAAGAAUAAAAGAAGCAUUAGUGGAUUAGUCCAUAAUUUCUAGGAAUCAGAAAGAGAGGGAUUAGUAGAGCUGAUUGUCGCAAAAAAGGGGAUAAUAUAUUCAGUUCCAAAUGACUAAAACUGAUCCCAAAUUAUGGUUACUACAUAGUCAAAAGAAAGAAGGCUGCGGAAGACGGAUCGAUGAUGGCCAUGACUGUACUUGAAACAGGACAUAUACCACCAUACCGGCCUGAAAACACACGCAGAACCUUAAACGAGUACCUCAUUUUCAAAUAAGUCAGGCAACCUAAACUGACUUUAAGCUCUCCAAUUACAUCCAUAAACAGCCGGCCGAGAAGUACUUUCAUUUGCAAGAAGAUCCAACUAUUGGCAUAACAAUGUCCUCAAGCAACGGUAUCAAAAACCAAAGAAACCAAGCUCAGUUGCCCUCUCUUUCUCGAAUGUCUCGAAGUACUGGUAGAUGAUAGUAACAGCAAGCAGAAUACCAGUUCCUGAACCAAUAGCACCCAUGAAAUCAGCUAGAACAGUCAAUGCACCAAUGCACACUCCACCAAAUGCAGCGGCAGUGGGGAUGUAUCUGUUCAAUUCCUUCUGCAAGUUUGACUCACGAUGGCCAGGCAUCACCAUUUGCUGUUCCUGUUAUAGUGACAUAGAAAUGGAGUUUAUAGAUGGCCUUUGAGUAAACCAAUAUAGACUAUUAGAUCACCUCAACACUAAAUAUCCCACUAUAUAUAGAUUCCUCAGCACAAGGUCAAAAGUUUCUAAAUAUCCACUAAAAAGGUUCCAGCAGUUUCAGAUAAGAUAAUAAUAGUUAAGAAACUUUGGAUAAGGCUUCAUGGAAAACAUUGAACGCUACUUGAACAAUUCAUGUGCUUGAAUGACUAUAAUGUUGCAUGGCACAACAAUAUUUGGAGUUUUAUGUAUACAGAGUUCAGAGGUUAGCAUACAUCAAAACAUGUGCAGAUGGGAUAUCAGACUUAAGACAUCACCACACAUGCAAUGUAAUGAGUUGGACUAUAGGUAAACAGGAACAAUAACUAGAUAGAAAAUAUGUAUCUACAUCUUUACCUUCAGCUGUUUAGCAACAUCCUUUGCAGAUGAGCCAGAUACUUCAAUCCAUGUCUUUGAGAAGAGAGCACAAGCUGACAGCAUGAAGACCACAUAGAACAACGCAUGGAACGGAUUUGCAAGAACAUCAGCCAAACUGCAUGUUUCCAAACAUGAAAGGUAAGAACAAAAACAAAAACAUAAAAUGGUGACAAAAACAAAAGGCAAGACCAUAAGGAUAGAAUGGUGACAUCAAACAUAACGAUUAUUCACCUUGAUGGAGCAGUUACAUAGUAAGCGAGACCACCAACAGGAACCGAAUGGCCAGAGUACUCAGAUUCCUUCCAUUUCCCAAGAAGGUUAACCAGAAAAUUUCCACUGUACCUCCUGUAGAGAAGCUGCAACAAAAUAAAAACAUGUUAAAAACUUGAUCAGUAAUGUAAAUAUUACUGCGGCACUACAAUACCGCACGCACCUGUGAUAUGAAGUAGAGGUUGGUAAUCAGUGCAGAGUGCAGAAUGAUGGGCAUGUUUGAAGUGUAGAACAACUUAAUUGGAUAUGAGCCUUGCUGCCCCCUAGCAUUCUUUGAUCUCACUGGAAGCACAACACGGAAGCCUUGGAAGUAGAUGACUAUGAGGAAGACCAAUACAGUUGCAAGUAAAUUUGUCACAUUCGGAAGGUUCUGACGGUAGAAAGCUUCACGCAAGGCACGGACUUUGUCAGUUCUAGUAAUCAACAAAUGGAACAAUGCAAUGACAGCUCCUUCAAAUUCAGCACCACGCCCACUGUUGAUGGUUGUGGGGCUAAACGCCUUCCAGAUGAUAUUCUCACUGUGCAACAGCAAGUUCACCAAUAAUAAGCUAAAUUGUAACAAAAUGUCACAUCAGUAAGAAUGUAAGAUAAAGAAAUUUAAGAUGCUUACCAGAUAUUGGUAGCAAUGAACAGAGAAAUGCCAGAACCCAAACCAUAGCCUUUCUGGAGAAGUUCAUCAAGGCAGAUAACAAUGAUGCCAGCAAAGAAAAGUUGUAGGAUGAUGAGAAUGGCAUUGCCAGUUCCAAGUUGGCUCACACUACCAUACAUUCCAGACAGCACAUAUGCCACAGCUUCCCCAAUAGCAAUCAAGAUACCCAGCAGCUUUUGUGCGCCAUUCCUGAGUCACAUCACAAGAUUACCACCAGGCAAAAAAAAAAAACUUUCAUUCACUAAAUCACUAGGUGCAGGACAGGCUAGCAGUACAUGCACAUUAGACUCUGAACACAUUACCACCAAUAUAUAAGACAAUAUAAAAUAGGAUAUUGCGCUAUUUCUAUAAAUACUUACAGAAGUGCACGGUCCUCUCUCACACUGUUGUCAACUUCAAUAAUCUUUGAUCCCACUAGAAGUUGCAUUACCAUUCCAGAUGUCACAAUUGGGGUAAUACCCAGCUCCAUAACAGUGCCACGGUUUGAUGCAAGAAUAACACGCAUCCAGUAGAAAGGAUCUGCUCCAGUAGUUGAAUGAAUUCCAUAGAGUGGGAGCUGACUGCACACCAGGAAAAUGAAGAGAGAGAUAACGGUAUAGAUCACUUUUUCUCUGAAUGGUAUUUUCCUAUCAGCACUCUGUACUUCUGGCAGGAAAGCCAGAAAGGGCCUGACAAGAUGCAGUACUCGAAAACCACCAGCCAUCUUUCUGUGUCCAGGAAAAGAAAACAGAUCAGCCUUUGACACAAUGCACAUGAAAAAUGUUAAAACAUAAUAUCACCCAGUAAACUGCAAAAUUUCCCAGCUUGGUGUGUUAUGCAGUCAGUUAUGGUUCAGAUCAACAAGAUGCAUUUAUUAUCCAUUUGACUGUAAUUGAAGUAAACCAACCCAAAUAUCGUAAUGCUAAAACAGGAACCCAGUAUUUCAAAUAAAAUGAAAGUCGAAUGUGAACCCUCAUGCGUUUCUUUGACGAAAAAUGGGCAGAAAGGAAUUUAAUUCACUUGCACCAAGUUUACAGCAGGACGAAAUAAUCACAUUUACUGAGAGAUGGAAAACAUUUUUAUUUCCUUAAGAAGAUUUAAUUAAUUCAAAUAAAAGUGGGAAAGUGAGGAGGAGCUAUAUAAAGAAGCUAUGCCUAAGAUUGCAAUAGGAAGCAGGUGAUUUAUAAGCAGAAGAAAAUUAAAGUUUGACAUGUCCAUCUAGCAAGAAUGGUAACUUUCGCAACGCAAAAGAAAAGGAAAAAAAAGAAGGCCAAUUCUCAAUUCCUAUCAAAAUUGGUACGUUGACUUGGAUUCGGAGUCAAAUUUAGCAUAUAUCUACACCUAAUCUGCAUUCAUUUAUUAUUAUCAUCAUUAUUAUUAUUUUUUCCUUCAAACCAAAGCAUGUCAGCGAAACAAAAACUUGUCCCAGAAUCCAAGCACAAAUCCCCGCCAACCAACCAAAGCAUCGCUCUCGAUCACAAUACUUAACUAGCAUCGAUCCGAUACCCGCCGGCUAAUCACAACUACCAACGAACACACCAACCCAACCCUGGAUCUGGACGCCCCACCUAUCCACCAAAAACCACCCGCAUCAUAAAACGAAAAAAAAAACGCGACACGGAUCAGAGACACGCCCGCGGAUCCAAGCAUGAACACAGCAGGCAGACGGGCAACACAGAUCUAGAGGAAAAACGCCGCAACAAAUGGACCCGCCCGAUCCGACGGCGAGAAGAAGGAAGGAACAAGGGGGAGAGGGCCGAGCUGCUGCCUCACCUGGCCGGCGCCGCCGCCGAGGCGAGUGGAAGCUUCUCGCCGCCGCCGCCGCGGGAUCGGAGAGCGUGAAACCCUAGGCGAGGAGAGAGAUGGUGGGGCAAGAGCACGAAACGGGAGGAGGGAGGGAGAUAGUAGUAGCAGUUGAAGAAGAGAGGAGGUAGAAUGGGUCGCUGCGGGUGGUGACCUGACGUGGCGCGCGGGGCCGGGGUCGUCCGAUCCGGGACGAGCGGCGGAUGGAUCACGCAAAGCCGACAACGCUGGCUUCAAAUCAUCUAUAGCUAAUUAAUAGUUUAUUUAUACAAUAAUUAACUAUAAAAAUAUACUAAGCUAUUAAUAUCCGGUCCCACCCCUCAUACACACGUAACGUCUUAUAAUCCGUGUUACAGCCGGCUACAAAUUUAUAGUCCGUUUUCUUCUCUCUUUAUCUUUUCUUCUCGAUAUGUGUUAUAGCUGGCUUAUAGCUUUCUAUUGUACAUGCUCUUAGGACAUCACCAAUGUAUUUGGCAAAAAUGAUCUAUAUAGAUGGGAUCCACAUAAAGAGACUAUAAUUAUAGCGAUCUCCACAAUGCAUAUAGAUACAAGGUAGUAUUAAGAGAUGAGAAAGAAAAAGAGAUAGAUAUUAUUAUUUAUUCUAUAUGGGUAGUCCAUAUGCUUACGGAUACCUUUUGUUAUUUUCUCCAUAUUGACUAGUUACACGAUGGUAAUAUAUAGCUGAAUGGAAUAUAAUAUUGCCUAUAGACUACUUUUGCUUCACAUCGUGGAUGCCCUCACGCGACCUUGGGUAACCACCUGUGUUACUUUUUUAUCAUGAGAUAAAUCGUUUCAAUUAACAAAGUUUAAAAUACUAUGAACAGUUAGUUAAAUUGUAAACAACUUUAACGUCAUAAUAUUACUCCGUAUAAGCUAAUGCUGAUCGGAAGGUUAAACAUAAUUUGCUAUGUCCAUAAACAUAACUUGAUGAUGAACAGACCAUCUUCCCCUGUUUAAAACAACUUACCAGUAGACAGUGCUUUGGUUGUAGCUCAACGAUCCAUUUGAUGAGCGCUUGAGACGAAGAUAGUAAAUUUAAUAUCUGGUCUGAAAACAAACUACAUACUCUCGUUUUUCGUGCGCACGUUUUUCAAAUUACUAAACAGUACGUUUUUUACAAAAAGUUUAUAUACAAAAAUUGUUUCAAAAAUCAUAUUGAUAUAGCAAAUACUUAAUUAAUUACGUGCUAAUAGACCGCUCCGUUUUCUAUACGUACUGUUUGGGUUGUGAACCCAAACUUACGAACAGAACCAAAGGGCCUGUUUAGAUCCCUGGCAAGUUUUUUCACCAUGGGGCCUGUUUAGAUCCCUGACAAGUUUUUUCACCAUGUCACAUUGAAUGUUUGGACAUAUGAAUAAAAUAUUAAAUAUAGAUUAAAAAAACUAAUUACGCAGAUUGCGUGUAAAUUGCGAGACGAAUCUUUUAAGCCUAAUUGCUCCAUGAUUUGACAAUGUGGUGCUACAUUAAACAUUUGCCAAUGACGGAUUAAUUAGGAUUAAUAAAUUCGUCUCGCAGUUUAUAAGCGGAUUUUGUAAUUUGUUUUGUUAUUAUAUUACGUUUAAUACUUCAAACGUGUGUCCAUAUAUCCGAUGUGACACGGCAAAAAUUUUAACCCCAUUAUCUAAACACAGCAUAAAACUGAAAGCUAGAGAAAUUAAGAGCACGUUGAAGCUUUUCUAUUGAGAUGUUCUUCCUGCUGCUUCCAUUUUUAUUGUUACAUCCAGUUUAUUAUGUCAACACCCCCUCCUUCUGUCUCUCUCUCUAGUGAAGCAACGUGUCUACUGGGUUAGGUUGGACAUGCAGAGGACUGAAAAAAAGGUAAAUGUAACCAUGCUGAACUUAGCCAAAACUACCUUGAUACUUCCCUGCUAAUGGCAGUAGUUUCAUUGAUCAAGAAAAAGAUACUGACUAGUAGAAAAAAAAAACUAUAUAUACACAUUCAACGUUACUUGUUAGCUGUCAUUAUACAGCAAGUCGUACUGUGCCAGCAGCAACCGCAUUAGUAGAUUUGCAGAACUAAACGGAAGUUACCCUAAAAUGGAAAGUCAAGCAGAAAAUAAUCAAAGAAAUGUGAGCAUUGGACUUGCAAGUUGCAAAAUAUCUUCUUCCCUUACAUGGAACGACAUUUGAAGUAAAAAAACUACACUGUUGUAAGCUGAUCGCUUGAAUUUUUUUUUGGACAUGUGUAAUCAACCUUAGUCAUCACCCAUCACUGAUGUUAAAAUGCACAAACAUUUGCAUGCAUGAUUUAUUAGUUGCAGAAGCUCAUUUUCAUAAAUAGAAUAGGAAGAGUUACCUUGCCUAGUGUCCAUGCAAGCAAUUUAUCAAGCACCUAGUGGUCAUGAGGAAGGAGCCAAGGAGGAAAUUUGUGAACGGUGAGGUAUGGGGAGGAGUAAGCGGUGAGGUCUUCGGCAAUAAAAAAAUUAUUGGAGGUAUGUCACGAGGGCCUUCGGCCUACCUGCCAAAACCGUCUAAACCAUCAAACAUUGGCUAAGUCCUAGAUGGACACCAAAGGCGAAGCUGGAUGAUGACGACCAAGGGGUUCACCAUCAGGCCUGGGCGUAGCCAGGUGACGAAGAUCGAAGGGUUCGCCACCAAGCCCAUCGACUGAAGAUCCACCAAAGGCAAAGACCGUAAGGCGAAGCAUAAGGCUGUUGUCCGAAGUAGAAGAUGCCUUCGGCUAAGGGCUUGGGAGGCCCUGCGACCCAUGGAGGCUUUUCACCAAUGAUGGGCCGGCCCAAGAAGGUCACCUUAGGGCCCAUAAAUACAAAAGACAUUAUAUACCCAUACUAAUGUCCCUAUCAUAAAGGUAACUAUGUAAAUUCUCAUGUACCAACUAAACCCUAGAGGGUAUGAGCAUGUACUAAGACUAUAUAAAUAGCCCCCUGGGGCCAUGGAGGAUCCCAAAAAUUUUUACCAAUUAAUAUAUCGCUUUAUUAUUCCAACAACUCAUCGAGUUUACCACGUCCUUCGACGUGAAGCAGUUGUCAUUCGACAACAAAAAUUAAUAAGCAAAACUUUUAUGCCAAUAUCAUUCACGAUUUUAAAAGUCAGGGCUAGAACAUAGUAUGAUGAAAAACCCAGAAAAUGAGCUCGCUCUCAAAAUUUAAAUUUUCGGUAGUCCAUCCAGAAGCCGGGGCAGAUGUAUGUAGGUCGGGCUGACCCAUAGCUUCUCGAAAAACAAUCCUAUAGACUUUGAUUUUCAUAUAUAAAUAAAAAAAGAUAAAUGACCUCAUUUAAAUAUAAACUGGUAGAAAUUGAUUCGACAUGGUUAAAUUCAGAAAUAUAGUAAAACGGUAAUUGUGUUGACACGUUUCAAUCUGCGUACUCCAUCGAGUUUACCCAAGAGAUAGCAUGCAGGAGCACAUCUCAUCCAAAGCAUUUUCCCCGGAAGUGACAACGUUUUAUGAUACAUAGAGUGAUAGAGGCACAAACAUGUACCAGUCUCUGCAAGUUUACAGGAAGCGGUUAAAUAAGCAAGUGUGCUGCUCAUCAACAGGGGCGGGGAUAGCUCAGUUGGGAGAGCGUCAGACUGAAGAUCUGAAGGUCGCGUGUUCGAUCCACGCUCACCGCAUUUAAUUUCAUAGCUUUUUAAAAUUUCUGUUGAACUGUUCAAUAUUUAAAGUUUCGUUUGGUUGGUAUCAAUAUUAAAUUGUUUCCAAGUUUCUAAAGUUUUUUUUUCAGUUAAAUUAUUUUCCUAGGUUUUUUAAAAACUACUAUUUAAGUUAAAUUAUUUUCCUAGGUUUUUUAAAAUUUCUCUUCAACAGGGUUCAAUAUUUAAAGUUUCUUUUCAUUGUAGCAAUAUUAAAUUGUUUUCCUAAGUUUCUAAAGUUUUGUUUCUUCAGGGUCUAUGGUAUUUUUCAACUUCAUUUUGUCUUUUAAGGACGGUUGUGUUUGAGUGUUUCUUGCUUCAUAUGAGUGGUAACUUGAAAAAACCGAAUGCUGCAUUGUAGUCACAAGGGUUGAAACUGUUACGGAUAGUUUCCGUCCAUCCGGACCAUUUUUCGGAUUCGGAUAGGUUCCAUCGGAACUAUCUGGAAAUUCUCGAAUUCGGAAACGAAUUCAGAAUUUUUUUUCUUGGAAACGAAAACGACUAUAGUAAGGGUACUAUCCGUCGAAAUUGAAAAAAGAUCAGAAACUAUCUGGAAAUUUUGUUCGAAUAUCCGCAGACAUAGAUCAAAUUUUAGAAAAAACAUGUAUAUAUACAUAACUUUAUUAUACGGAGUCAGAUGAAGACAAACUUUAUAUCAAAAUUGUAGAGCUCGAUAAGAUCUACAAUUUUCUUGUUGACUAUUUUAUUAUUUGAGAUCAUUUAAGGGUCUAAAUAUUUAUUAUAAAAUACCAUAUAUGUUUUUACAAACAUUUGUAUUUCAAAAUGUUUAAAGUAUAAAAUAAACACUACAUGUUUUUAAGAUGUGAAAUAAAAUAAAUAACAUCUCCAAUUUAUACAAUAAGAACUUGAUAAGUGAUAUGGUAAGUAAGAUAUAUAUGUAGUAAAAGGUCUUAGGAUUAGAAAAUGAAUAAUCAUAUUUAUAUGUGGGUCUCUUAUGGGAACGGCCAUAAAAAACUAUUGUCACAUACGGUUAUGGGAUCGCCUACAAAAUUGAUGAUAUAAAGGUUGAAGACGUUGAUAAAAAAAACAAGGGAUAUCUCUUCCUUGAUUAAGAAAAGGCUGCCUUAAGAAAACUCAAUUUGUAGGGAUUUUUAUAUAUUGGUAGGGGUGGAAAAAAAAGCACGGGCUCAUGAGCUCAGCUCAGGCUUUGGCUCGAGCUCGCUUGGUUCAGCUCGGCACUAUUGCCAAACGAGCCAAGUCCAAGCCUCCUUUUCAGCUUGUUGCUAAAAUGAGCUGAGCCCAAGCUAUUUCGCGAGCCACUUGUUUGGCCCGUGAGCCUAGGCCAUUAGGUAAAUAUAUGGAUAUUUUAUUUUCUAGUGGAGUUAGUAUUAGUCAAUAUACGAUUUAUUAUCUAGAUUUCGAAGAAUUGAAUAUAUGAACUUGUUUGAAUUUUACAUGCUGAUGAUUUGUUCUUACUUUUCUUAAUGAUUACAAAUUAUAUAUGAAGAUAUGCUUUAGUGGGAAGGCUCGCAAGCUAGCUCGAUCUGGCUCAUGUUUUAGUUUAUUUCCCUAACCGAACCGAGCCAAGCCUAGUUUGUUGCAGCUUGUUUCCACCCCCAAUAUACCGGCAAAUAUUCGAAUAUUGCCGCAUUCGUUCCGUUUCGUAUUAUUCGAUUUCAUUUCCAUAUCCAGGUUUUCGAUUUCGAAAAAGAAAAUAUGAAAACGAAUAUGAUAAAGCAAUUUCUGUCCGUUUCUGGUCCAUUUUCAUCCCAAGUAGCCACAGCCUUAAAGAUGAGAGUGUCAAUUGCCACAGCCUUAAAGAUGAGAGUGGCAAAUACUUAAUUGACACUUGUAGGAGUGUCAGUUAGUUCUUGAAGCAUCGGGAAGGCAAUCGAGUUAAUUCUUUUUUCAAAAAGUUUGACUUGUAUGAAUGUUCAUUUCAUGUUAAUAUAUUCUCUAUUCAACUUAAUAGAUCACUUUAUAAUCAAGCACGUCACCUUUGCUGCUAGUAGAAGAAAACAGGCAUAGUUGUAUGAGCCGGAAAAAGGCAAACGAGCUCGCAUAUUAGCCUUUAAGGUAGUUUUAACAUGCAACGUUGCAUGCUUACACGCUUGCUGAGUUAAACCUCUUGCCAUAGCUUAAAUGGUUAAUACAAUGUAUUCAAGGGAACACGAAUAUAACAAUUAACAUUGUGAAAAAAAAAAACAUGGUGCUCUUCGCACAUACAAAUACAAUGCAAGAUAUUAGACUGCCAAAUUUCAAAAUUCUAAAGCAAAGAACAAAAGAGGAAUUAGUGCAUUACUCCAUAAUUUCUAGGAAUCAGAAAGAGGGAUUAGUAGAGAUGAUUGUCGCAAAAAAAAGGGAUAAUAUAUUCAGUUCCAAAUGACUAAAACUGAUCCCAAAUUAUGGUUACUACAUAGUCGAAAAACAGAAGGCUGCGGAAGACGGAUCGAUGAUGGCCAUGGCUGUACUUGAAACAGGGCAUAUACCACCAUACAGGCCUGAAAUCACACGCAGAACCUUAAACGAGUACCUCAUUUUCAAAUAAGUCGGGCAACCUAAACUGACUUUAAGCUCUCCAAUUACAUCCAUAAACAGCCGGCCAAGAAGUACUUUCAUUUGAAAGAAGAUCCAACUAUUGGUAUAACAAUGUCCUCAAGCAACGGUAUCAA